GACCGCAUGGCCUAAUGAGAUUUGGCGUCUGACUUCGAAUCAGAAGAUUGAGGGUUCGAGUCCCUCUGUGGUCU
rnacentral:tRNA from 1 species